AGUCCCGAAGUGUUUCACAUCAAAAUGCAAGUUUGAGAAAGAGCCCAUAAAAGGGCU
rnacentral:tRNA from 1 species